rnacentral:rRNA from 1 species
CCUACGGGUGGCAGCAGUGAGGAAUAUUGGUCAAUGGACGGAAGUCUGAACCAGCCAUGCCGCGUGCAGGAAGACGGCUCUAUGAGUUGUAAACUGCUUUUGUACAAGGGUAAACCUGAAUACGUGUAUUCAGCUGAAAGUACUGUACGAAUAAGGAUCGGCUAACUCCGUGCCAGCAGCCGCGGUAAUACGGAGGAUUCAAGCGUUAUCCGGAUUUAUUGGGUUUAAAGGGUGCGUAGGCGGAUUGAUAAGUUAGAGGUGAAAUGUCCGAGCUUAACCCGGGAACUGCCUCUAAUACUGGUGAUCUAGAGUGUAAGUGAGGUAGGCGGAAUGUGUGGUGUAGCGGUGAAAUGCUUAGAGAUCAUACAGAACACCGAUUGCGAAGGCAGCUUACC